rnacentral:rRNA from 1 species
GGAAGUAAAAGUCGUAACAAGGUUUCCGUAGGUGAACCUGCGGAAGGAUCAUUACUGAUUUAGCGAACCGAGCGUUAGCGAGGUUUUGCGAUCACUUAUAUUUAAAACCCCACUCUUUAAUGUAUAAAAUUUGUAUUAAUGAUAAAUUAAAAGAUCACUUUCAACAACGGAUCUCUUGGCUCUCGCAUCGAUGAAGAACGUAGCGAAGUGCGAUAAGUAAUGUGAAUUGCAGUAUUCCGUGAAUCAUCGAAUCUUUGAACGCAUAUUGCACUUUCUGGUAUUCCGGAAAGUAUGCCUGUUUGAGGGUCAGUUAAAUAAAAAUCGGUGUUGUUGCCGCUUUUCGAGGUGACGCGUCGGAAUUGAGUUGUCUUACCUUCGGUUAAGUGACUUAAAAUUUUGUAUGAUUUUCGAACGUAUUUAAAUUUAUUUGUACGUUUGAGAUAUCGAAUGUUUAUUAGGUUCGGUCAUUCUAAUGACUCGCGCCUAUAGUUUUUCAUUAAAUGACCUCAAAUCAGGUAAGAAUACCCGCUGAACUUAAGCAUAUCAAUAAGCGGAGGA